rnacentral:lncRNA from 1 species
UCUGCCUUAUCUUGCACGUAUGUUAGUUAUUCACAACAGACUUCGCGAAAGCACUUUAGGGAGGAGCCUGUUUCAUUUUUUUGAUCUUCAACUUACUUCUCAGUUCAAAGGAUAUUACUCAAUAUCUCCUCAUUAGUCAAUGCUUUCCAAUAUUAGUCAAAUUUCACUGAAGCCAACAGCAGGGUCCAAAUACUGGCUCUGUCUUUUGCCAUUAGGCAAUAUUAAAGAAUUUUUGAAUCCACAUAUGUAAAAACAAUUACAAUUAUUGAACUUAUUUCACAAAGCCAUUGUGAGAGGUAAAUUAAAAAAUUGUGUACUUAGGAGAGUCAGAGCCAUAGCAUGCACUCUGAUUUAUACAAGAUUCUAGAAAGAACAAGUUAAGAGGUAACUAAAACAGAAGCCAAAUGUAUAACUUUGUAUAAACAGAAACUGCAUAUCAUAUUUGUCUUUAGAUCUUAAUAUAGUGGACAUGACUUCAUGUAAUUUUAUGUCAUUCUCAUCCUUCUUUCUGCUGAACUUGCAAGAGAAUGUUUUUGUUCAGAGGCUCUUAGAGGAUGAUUUUCUUUAAGAUAGGCCCUAGUUCAGAAGAGGAUCUAUAGCUCUUACAGAGCCUAGAUUCCUGAAAUACCCUUGAGGCUUCAGGAAUAAGCCAAAAAGGCCUGUAUGUGGAUUUGCUGAUUAAUGAAUAAGUUGAUAAACAUAUUUAUUCACUCAAAAUCAAAUAUUCACUUUGCACCUCAUCCUCUAGGAGGUUAUAUUCCAAGGCUAGGCAGAGACAAAGCAAAUAUUAGAAAAUGAUACAAUCUUGCUAUGGUGGAGAUCUUAGCUGAGGUUGAAACACAUCAAAAAGUCCCCAACUGUAUUACAGACCAUCAGGGAGAAAGGAAGUGCCAGAGAAUGAACAGCUGUUACCUAAUGAAAUGUGAAGAAAAGGGAAUGUAUGAGGCAGAGGAACAGUAUAUACAAAGGGAAAUGCUUCACUAUAAUUGGAAAAUUAAGUGCAAGUUAGUAGAUGGAGUAAUAGACAUGGAAGAGAAAAUUUAAAGUAACUGACACUAACUGUAAGGCCACACAGUGACCAAGAGACAUCUACAGAUAUUUGGUUUCAGAGCUCUACACAAGAGAGGCUGUUAGCAUGCGAUCUGGCAUGAAGAGGAGAGUCUGGUACGGAAAGUCAAUACUACUUGCUAUGAAAACAAGAGUUGCCUAAAAUUGUUCUGCUUUCACUCUGGAAAGCUGUUAAGACAGGAACUAGCAUCUAACUCAGAGACUUAAAAACAAGAGAGCAUGAAACAGCUAAAUACGAGGUCUACCUAACAACAUCCUUCCACAUAAAUACUGACUACCAGAAAGGACAAGAAAUACUCAAGCUGUAAUAUUGGAUGUAGGUGGGGGAAUGGCAGAGGGAUAAGCAUGGAUCUACUUUGUUUUUUUUUGGCCAAACUAAUAAACUGGACUACGUUCUUAGAGCAACAUGAGAGAUUUCAGCUUUUUCUUCUCUUUAUUUUUUUAAAUUUUUUUUGUCUUUUUUUGUUUGUUUGUUUUUUUAGGGCUGCACCCAUGGCAUAUGGAGGUUCCCAGGCUAGGGGUCCAAUCGGACUGUAGCAGCUGGCCUACGCCAGAGCCAUAGCAACACCAGAGCCAAGCUGCAUCUGCAACCUACACCACAGUUCAUGGCAAUGCCGCAUCCUUAACCCACUGAGCAAGGCCAGGGAUCGAACCCACAACCUCACGGUUCCUAGUUGGAUUCGUUUCCACUGCGCCAUGAUGGGAACUCCAGAUUUCAGGUUUUUAAACAAAGAUUAAAAAUGAUAUCAUUUGCCUUAAAAAAGAUCAUUCUGGAAGCAACGUGGAAGACUUACAGGAGGCAUCAAGACCAGUUUUAUGUUUAUACCAUGAUCCUGGUGAGAAAAGUUUAGAGACAGAGCUAAGACAUACUGCAUUGAUGCAUUUCUAGAGAAAGUAAAAGGAAUUUAUUAUACUGCAGUAGGACCUUUAGGGCAUUAGAAGUCAAUGUGUCCCUCUUCCCUAACCUCCAACAAGUUCACUGCCAUUGAUGAUCAUGUUUGUACCUUUGAAUUGUAAUUUCUGUUUUAAAAAGAAUAGAGGCAUUUAAUUGACCAUGAGUCCAAAGGAAAGAUCAUGGCAAUAGAGCAUAGUAUGAUUCAGGGUCCUUGAAUACUGGACUGUAUUCAUGACAAGAAUUUACUAAUGCUCACUCAUUAGUGAUUGUAAAUGUGACUUCUUUGAAGUCCAGGGGAAUAAGAAUGGGAGGUGAGAGCUGCACUGUGUAUGUAGCUCCGGCCUAGUUCUGGUUCCUGAAGGGUGGUCUCAAUCCUGUUGACUUGUGCCUUGUUGAUAGGCAUAGAUAAAGGGCCUACAAUAGGUUUAACAAACUGUAAAUAUCAACAAGUGGAACUGGAAGAAGAGAAAGAAGACCAAUUCCUCAUGGUAACUGCAGCACACAGACUGUUUAUUAAAAGUAUAAUAUUUCUUAUCAAAGGCACAAUCUAAAAUCAACACAAAUAUAAACUAAAACGAAAGUAGUUCCUUCCUCUUUCUACCUUCCAAUCCUGUUUUCAAAAGGAUAUCACCAGUCACUUAUUCAUAUGUUUCAUUAGGCAUUAACUCUAUGCUUCUAAAUAAUACGCUUAUAUUGUUAUUUCUAUUUUCAUCCAUUUUAGAAUUAUUAUACUUACUUCCUUAUAGAGGACUAAAAUUUGUCUUUCAUUUCCCACUGACCUCCCUUCCCCCAUACUCCUGGUUAAUUUAUUUUGAUGAAUGAAUCACCAAUGUUUAUUUUUUUUACAUUUAAAAAAAUAUUGUUCACUGCAGAGCCAAGCAAUUUACUACAAUUACAUUUUCUCACAGGUGCUGCUGCAUUUCACUUUGUAUAGAAACAAUCACCUUGUUUUUCUUAGAAUAUUUGCUAUCAGCAGAGCCAUAAUCACGUAAAUGCUCUAUAACAUCAUGUAUGCCAUUGCCCCUUUCCCUUUAUAGUUCCUUUUACAAAAAAAACCCAAUAAUGGUCACUGGCUGGAAGCAUAAAUUAUGCCUGCAUUUUUAAAAUAUUAUAUUUAAGUAUGCUGUCUCCCAACCGGAAACAAAACUGAGUCUUUAGUAGCUCAUUACGAUGUUUCUCACGAUGUAAGCUGUUUACAGUUUGAGGGUAGAAGGUAAUACCUUUGAAUUUCAUGAGGGUGUGCCUGUUGCAGCACUUUUUGUUUACUGUGAGAUAAUUUCCUUCAUCAGAAUCAAUAACGGCAAAGAAAGAAUGCCAAAAGUCUGUCAGAAGCAGAAUUUUAUUUAGAAUAAAUGCUGAUUUCAGUAAGAAAAUACCACUGUCCUCUCUGUGAUGGCAAGUAUCUAAUAGUUUUAAUCUACCAACAAUGUAGACGGCUAUUUCCCAGGGGCAGGAAUCAAACUGAAACUUUAGCAUCAGUGUCUGCCCUUGGCAGAUUAAGCAAUCAACAGUGGCAAAAGCCAGAUCAUCCUUGCAGUGGAAUUCAGUGAGUUGUAAUUUUGCUGCUAUGUGUACACUGGGCAAGGACUAGGUAGAUGGGAAGUGAGCUAUAUUAACAUUCACAAAAUGUGUCAUCUUGUAUGUAUGAUUAUGCUGAUUUUUUUUUUUUUAAUGGCUACAUCCACAGCAUGUGGAAGUUCCCAGGCCAGGGACCAAGUCCAAGCUGCAGCUGAGGAAAUACUAGAUCCUUUAAUCCACUGUGCCAGGCCAAGGAUCAAACCCAUGUGUCUGCAGCAAUCCAAGCUGCUACAGUCAGAUUCUUUACCCACUGUGCCACAGUGGGAACUCCCAGUUUGCUUUUAAGUGAAUGUCCUUUGUUAAGCACUAAUGUGAAAUAUAGAUAUUUGCAUAUUUUAAUUGAUCCGAAAAUAUCCAUCUAUAAAGCUCUUCUCAGAUAUCCUUGGAACCAGUGUUUCCAGUCCUGUUCUUUCCACAUUUCUACUUAUCAAUCUAAAACAUUAGCAACAUUUGUCUAAAUUAGUUUAGAUGAAACAUUAGUCUAAUAAUCAGUUUACAUGAGAAGGAACUAUUCGAGCAGCUCUCUGCUAUCAGGAGAAGGAUGUGAGUCAUAAAGGUGGAGAAUGCUCUUUGCACAUGCACAUACCAGCUGAGAUUAGCCAAAGCCUAGCCUGGACCAGUUGAAACUGACAAUGCAUGAGGAAUGAAUAUUGAUUGCUUAACAUCACUGAAGCCAUCAAUUUUGUAUCAAUAGCUAACAGAUACGAGAAUUUUCUAUCAAUAGUAAACCAGUCCAGUGCCAACUGAGCUGUUCAGUAGCCUCCCCAGUAAGAUUUUCUUUACCAUUUUUCUUCGGGCACACUCCUAUUUAGGGCUAUAAUGCUGCAUUAAUAAAUUUCCUAUUAGUGCCAGCAUGUUGUUUAGAACCAAAAGGAAAUUACUUUCUGGUCACAAAGAAAUUUAUGAGAUUAUGCUGUGGAUUCAGGAAGAAGAGGCAAUAAAAAGGAGUUGGUGUCACAGGCAUGUGCACUCUGCACCCUAAUUUUUAUUGGUAGACUCCUGUGUUAUUUGGGGUCCUCAAUAAUAAUUAAAUUUAAUUGAUAACAAGUGUCUAGCAAUUCUUAAGACCUGGAUUUUUUCCUGUGCAGAGAUAUACUAGGUAGUGGCUCUAUUUCCCCUUGGGGAAUGGUUAAUGAAUCCGACUAGAAACCAUGAGGUUGUCGGUUCGAUCCCUGCCCUUGCUCAGUGGGUUAACGAUUCGGCGUUGCUGUGAGGUGUGGUGUGGGUCGCAGACGUGGCUCAGAUCCCGCAUUGCUAUGGCUCUGGCGUUGGCCGGUGGCUACAGCUCUGAUUCAACCCCUAGCCUGGGAACCUCCAUAUGCCGCAGGAGCGGCUCAAGAAAAGGC